GGGUAAGUUAAAUACCUGCGAUGACGUACGCGAAGGAGCACCGGCUACUCGUGCAGCAGCCGCGUAUACGGAGGGUGCAAGCGUAUCGAUACUGGGCGUAAAGCGCACGCAGGCGGUCUGUUAAGUCAGAUGUGAAAUCCCGGCUUAACCUGGAACUGCAUUGAACUGGCAGGCUUGAGUCUCGUAGAGGGGGUAGAAUUCCAGUGUAGCGGUGAAAUGCGUAGAGAUCUGGAGGAAUACCGGUGGCGAAGGCGGCCCCCUGGACGAAGACUGACGCUCAGGUGCGAAAGCGUGGGGAGCAAACAGGAUUAGAUACCCUGGUAGUCACGCCGUAAACGAUGUCGACUUGGAGGUUGUGCCCUUGAGGCGUGGCUUCCGGAGCUAACGCGUUAAGUCGACCGCCUGGGGAGUACGGCCGCAAGGUUAAAACUCAAAUGAAUUGACGGGGGCCCGCACAAGCGGUGGAGCAUGUGGUUUAAUUCGAUGCAACGCGAAGAACCUUACCUGGCCUUGACAUCCAGAGAACUUAGCAGAGAUGCUUUGGUGCCUUCGGGAACUCUGAGACAGGUGCUGCAUGGCUGUCGUCAGCUCGUGUUGUGAAAUGUUGGGUUAAGUCCCGCAACGAGCGCAACCCUUAUCCUUUGUUGCCAGCGGUUCGGCCGGGAACUCAAAGGAGACUGCCGGUGAUAAACCGGAGGAAGGUGGGGAUGACGUCAAGUCAUCAUGGCCCUUACGGCCAGGGCUACACACGUGCUACAAUGGCGCAUACAAAGAGAAGCGACCUCGCGAGAGCAAGCGGACCUCAUAAAGUGCGUCGUAGUCCGGAUUGGAGUCUGCAACUCGACUCCAUGAAGUCGGAAUCGCUAGUAAUCGUAGAUCAGAAUGCUACGGUGAAUACGUUCCCGGGCCUUGUACACACCGCCCGUCACACCAUGGGAGUGGGUUGCAAAAGAAGUAGGUAGCUUAACCUCGUGAGGGCGCUCUGCGACGAUUGAUUCGGC
rnacentral:rRNA from 1 species